rnacentral:rRNA from 1 species
AGCGAACGCUGGCGGCAGGCUUAACACAUGCAAGUCGAGCGCCCCGCAAGGGGAGCGGCAGACGGGAGAGUAACACGUGGGAACAUACCUUUUGGUUCGGAACAACUGAGUGAAACUUCAGCUAAUACCGGAUAAGCCCUUACGGGGAAAGAUUUAUCGCCGAAAGAUUGGCCCGCGUCUGAUUAGCUAGUUGGUGAGGUAACGGCUCACCAAGGCGACGAUCAGUAGCUGGGCUGAGAGGAUGAUCAGCCUCACUGGGACUGAGACACGGCCCAGACUCCUACGGGAGGCAGCAGUGGGGAAUAUUGGAAAAUGGGGGCAACCCUGAUCCAGCCAUGCCGCGUGAGUGAUGAAGGCCUUAGGGUUGUAAAGCUCUUUUGCCCGGGAAGAUAAUGACGGUACCGGGAGAAUAAGCCCCGGCUAACUUCGUG